rnacentral:rRNA from 1 species
AUUGAGCGCUGGCGGCAGGCUUAACACAUGCAAGUCGAGCGGAGAUGAGGUGCUUGCACCUUAUCUUAGCGGCGGACGGGUGAGUAAUGCUUAGGAACCUGCCUAUUAGUGGGGGACAACAUUCCGAAAGGAAUGCUAAUACCGCAUACGUCCUACGGGAGAAAGCAGGGGAUCUUCGGACCUUGCGCUAAUAGAUGAGCCUAAGUCGGAUUAGCUAGUUGGUGGGGUAAAGGCCUACCAAGGCGACGAUCUGUAGCGGGUCUGAGAGGAUGAUCCGCCACACUGGGACUGAGACACGGCCCAGACUCCUACGGGAGGCAGCAGUGGGGAAUAUUGGACAAUGGGGGGAACCCUGAUCCAGCCAUGCCGCGUGUGUGAAGAAGGCCUUAUGGUUGUAAAGCACUUUAAGCGAGGAGGAGGCUACUGAGACUAAUACUCUUGGACAGUGGACGUUACUCGCAGAAUAAGCACCGGCUAACUCUGUGCCAGCCGCCGCAGUAA